rnacentral:rRNA from 1 species
UACGAAGGGGGCUAGCGUUGCUCGGAAUCAUUGGGCGUAAAGAGCGUGUAGGCGGCCAGAUAAGUCCGCUGUGAAAUCUCGAGGCUCAACUUCGAGCUGUCGGUGGAAACUGUCUGGCUAGAGUCCGGAAGAGGAGAAUGGAAUUCCUGGUGUAGCGGUGAAAUGCGCUGAUAUCAGGAAGAACACCCGUGGCGAAGGCGGCUCUCUGGGACGGUACUGACGCUGAGACGCGAAAGCGUGGGGAGCGAACAGG